rnacentral:lncRNA from 1 species
AUUAACUUCAUGUGGAUAACAGACGCAUACACAGUAAUGUGUUACAUUGACAAUAUGUUUGUGUGUGUCAGGGCAUGAAAGGAGCAGAUGGCUACAGCGAUUCUGAUGAAGACCUGCAUGGUGCUUACCUUGAGAGAAUGAAAAAAAGAGGGCAAGAUCUGAACUUUGGUUUACAGUUUUCAACUUAAUUCCAACAAAAUAUAUAAAGAAACAAAUAUAUAAAGUAAUGGCACGUCAAAGUGAGUUUUGUUAGUGGAUUGUGCUGUAUUCUGUAGAGCAGUUACUGUAGAUAAUAUCUGUUAUCUUCCUGUAGAUGAGUCUUUCAACCCUGGAGAAGAGGAUGAUGAUGUCCCAGAAGAGUAAGUAAUUUUUUAUUCUUGUUUUGUAGUUUUUUCAAUUUUUCACUUUGACAAUAAUGAUGUCUCUGUGCAGGUAUGACAGUAACGUUUCAGAGAGCGAUAGUGAGGCAAAUCAUGGAGACAGCGAGGAAGAAGAGGAAGGCAAGAAGAAAAAAGCUAAAAUGAAGCCCAAGAAAGUGAUGAAGGAGAACAAAGUGAGAAAACCACAGAAAGAGGAGUGGCACAGAAAAGCGGAAGAGGCCAAAAAAAUAAAAAAUAUGAAAAAGCCAUGAAAGAGUACAGAGCGAGUGGAGGAGAAGUGGCAUCUGUUACUAAGUGAGCAAACAGAUCUAUCAAACACAUACUUUUUAUCACAAUUAUUUUAUAUUUUAAAGCAUAUUUCCACACGUGUACGUUUCUGUAAACUUCAAUUUGCACAUUGUUUGAAAGUAAACACUGGGUAAGAUAUUAGAUUGCAUCAAAGAAAUAGUCACCAAAAUAAUCAUACAAUGCAGUUUAUAAAUUAAGAAGUCUCAUAUAUUCAUCAAGUCUGAAUUUAUUUGUUCAAAAACACAAUAAAAACAGCAAUAUGGAUACACAGAAUUACAAUUUAAGAGAACUGUUUCUGGAUCUGACUGAUGUCACACUCACAGCACACAGACAUUUCCACAUCUCAGGUUUCACUGUGAAUAAUUGAUGGUUACUCAGACCAAGACUUCCUACUUUCGCCGUGAACACAUUUUUAUGCAUUUUUCCAUUCAGACUGAGAAUUUAGAAAUAAACGUAAUAUUUUUCCCUCUUUUGCGAGUGACAUCAGUAAAGCUUUUUUUGAUUUGUUCAUUUCUCAGUUUUGGUAGACAGACAUAAUUCAGGGAAGUGUGGAUAGACCUACUUGAAGAGGG